rnacentral:tRNA from 1 species
GCCGGGGUGGUGGAAUUGGUAGACACCAGGGACUUAAAAUCCCUUGGCUGGUAACGGCCGUGCCGGUUCAAGCCCGGUCCCCGGCA